rnacentral:rRNA from 1 species
GACGAACGCUGGCGGCGUGCUUAACACAUGCAAGUCGAACGGAAAGGCCCUGCUUUUGUGGGGUGCUCGAGUGGCGAACGGGUGAGUAACACGUGAGUAACCUGCCCUAGACUUUGGGAUAACUUCAGGAAACUGGGGCUAAUAUCGGAUAGGAGCUCCUGUUGCAUGGUGGGGGUUGGAAAGUUUCGGCGGUUGGGGAUGGACUCGCGGCUUAUCAGCUUGUUGGUGGGGUAGUGGCUUACCAAGGCUUAGACGGGUAGCCGGCCUGAGAGGGUGACCGGCGACAAUGGGACUGAGAGACGGACCAGACGCCUACGGUGGACAACAGUGGGAAAUAUUGCACAAUGGGAGGAAGCCUGAUGCAGCAACCUCGCGUGCGUGAUGACGGCCUUCGGGUUGAAAACCGCUUUCGCCUGUGACGAAGCGUGAGUGACGGUAAUGAGUAAAGAAGCACCGGCUAACUACGUG